rnacentral:hammerhead_ribozyme from 1 species
AUCCAGCUGAUGAGUCCCAAAUAGAACAAAACGCUAGUACUGGAU